UGAGGCCGACGAGGGAAUGACGACUGGCCAGAGGGAACACCAAACAUCGUUACUAUUUCCCCGUCAAAGACGUCCUGAAGCAACGGAGACAGGAAUGAUGCCAAAGUGAAUUGCGGAGUUAAUAUUCAGGACAUAAAGUUUUGCUUUUGAAACCACAACCCGAAUUAAACAUCAACCAUCCAUUCUAAAAAGUAACUGAAGACAUAAUGGAGCCUGAUUAUAAUCCCCUGGAGGUGUAAAUGGUUCUGUUGCUGUGUAAAGUGAGUUACUC